AUAAUGAUACUUCUAUUCCGUUGUUGCCAGCCCGCCGAGAGAAAAGGGCCGGAGGUGAGAUGCCUAUGA
rnacentral:ncRNA from 1 species